rnacentral:rRNA from 1 species
AACCUGGUUGAUCCUGCCAGUAGUCAUAUGCUUGUCUCAAAGAUUAAGCCAUGCAUGUCUAAGUAUAAAUAAGUCUAUACUGUGAAACUGCGAAUGGCUCAUUAAAUCAGUUAUAGUUUAUUUGAUAGUACCUUACUACUUGGAUAACCGUGGUAAUUCUAGAGCUAAUACAUGCACAAAAACCCGACUUCUGGAAGGGUUGUAUUUAUUAGAUACAAAACCAACCUGGGCAACCAGUUCAUUGAUGAUUCAUAGUAACUUUUCUAAUCGCACGGCCUUGCGCUGGCGAUGUCUCAUUCAAAUUUCUGCCCUAUCAAUUCUCGAUGGUAGGAUAGAGGCCUACCAUGAUGACGACGGGUAACGGAGAAUUAGGGUUCGAUUCCGGAGA